UAGCCUAACGGCUGACCAGCAACUUGGAGGAAUGUAUAGCUACGGCUAAUUGUGUAUAAUUACACGAUAUCGACUCUGUCGAAUAAAAUUCUGGGUAAAUUUUGAUGAUGACAUUUUUUACCUAUGUGUCUUGACCAAAUUGUGUGCCAGCAGUCGCGGUAAUACAUAGAAGACUAGUGUUAUUCAUCUUUAAUAGGUUUAAAGGGUACCUAGACGGUAGAUCAAGCCCUAGACGGGACUAAUUUGCUAGAGUUACUUAUGAGGGGGCUUUAAAGUACUAAUGGUGUAGAGAUAAAAUUUUGUAAUACCAUUUUUCGUAAAGAAAAAUUAUGGCACUGGUAAAGGUGAAAGCAUCCCCCUAUGUGAUAACUGACGUUGAAGGACGAAGGCUUUGGGUCGCGAAUAGGAUUAGAUACCCUAGUAGUCAAAGCAGAAAAUUAUGAGUGUCAUAGAUUAGAUAAUACAGUUUAUUCUAUAAAUGAAAGUGUAAGCACUCCACCUCAAGAGUAAUUUGGCAACAUUGGAACUGAAAUCAUUAGACCGUUUCUGAAACCAGUAGUGAAGUAUGUUGUUUAAUUCGAUGAUCCGCGAAAAACCUUACCACAAUUUGAAUAUGUAUAUUUUUUGAUAUAUUUACAAGCGUUGCACGGCUGUCUUCAGUUAAUGUCGUGAGACUUUGGUUAGAUCCAUUAAAUUAACGUAAGCCCUUACUUUAUUUUCAUAUAAAGUAGUUCUCCACCAUAUUGGACAAGAUAACAGGGACUAAGACAAGUCAUCAUGGCCUGAAUAUUGUGGGCUAUAGACGUGCCACAUAAGCCUCUACAAAGGGAUGUGAAAUUGCGAAAUUAAACUAAUCCCCCAAAACUGGAUAUAAUAUCAA
rnacentral:rRNA from 1 species